ACUAAUUCAAAGGGAUACAUGCACCCCAUAUAUUUAUAGCAGCAUUAUCUACAGUAGCCAAAUUACGGGAACAGCCCAGUGUCCAAUGACCAAUGAAUGGAUAAAGAUGUGGAAUAGAUACAUAGACUCAAUG